CUUGCAGACAAGCUUUCAAAGCUGAACAGCACCCAACAAUGUAUUGAAACUUUGUCACAUUGGUGCAUAUUUCAUCAAAGCAAAGCAGAGCAAGUUGUUGCAACAUGGGAUAAACAAUUCCACAGUUCACAGAUGACUCUAAAAGUUCCUUUAUUGUAUCUUGCAAAUGAUAUCCUACAGAACAGUAAGCGUAAAGGAAAUGAAUUUGUCUCAGAGUUUUGGAAGGUUCUUCCUACAGCACUUAAAGAAGUUGUUGAGAAAGGUGAUGAUCGGGGCAAGAGUGUGGUCUCUCGAUUGGUGAACAUAUGGGAAGAAAGGAGAGUAUUUGGAUCCCGUGCUCGAAGCCUCAAAGAUGUAAUGC
rnacentral:misc_RNA from 1 species